UAGGGAAUCUUCGGCAAUGGACGGAAGUCUGACCGAGCAACGCCGCGUGAGUGAAGAAGGUUUUCGGAUCGUAAAGCUCUGUUGUUAGAGAAGAACGUUGGUAGGAGUGGAAAAUCUACCAAGUGACGGUAACUAACCAGAAAGGGACGGCUAACUACGUGCCAGCAGCCGCGGUAAUACGUAGGUCCCGAGCGUUGUCCGGAUUUAUUGGGCGUAAAGCGAGCGCAGGCGGUUCUUUAAGUCUGAAGUUAAAGGCAGUGGCUUAACCAUUGUAGGCUUUGGAAACUGGAGGACUUGAGUGCAGAAGGGGAGAGUGGAAUUCCAGGUGUAGCGGUGAAAUGCGUAGAUAUAUGGAGGAACACCGGUGGCGAAAGCGGCUCUCUGGUCUGUAACUGACGCUGAGGCUCGAAAGCGUGGGGAGCAAACAGG
rnacentral:rRNA from 1 species